rnacentral:tRNA from 1 species
GGUGUGGCUCAGUGGUAGAGCAUCUGCUUGGCACCCAAAAGGCCUCAGGUUCAAUCCCCGGCAUCUCCA